rnacentral:rRNA from 1 species
UACGUAGGGUGCGAGCGUUGUCCGGAAUUAUUGGGCGUAAAGAGCUUGUAGGCGGUUUGUCGCGUCUGCUGUGAAAUCUCAAGGCUCAACCUUGAGCUUGCAGUGGGUACGGGCAGACUAGAGUGUGGUAGGGGAGACUGGAAUUCCUGGUGUAGCGGUGAAAUGCGCAGAUAUCAGGAGGAACACCGACGGCGAAGGCAGGUCUCUGGGCCACUACUGACGCUGAGAAGCGAAAGCAUGGGGAGCGAACAGG